GUGCCAGCAGCCGCGGUAAGACGAACCGUGCGAACGUUGUUCGGAUUCACUGGGCUUAAAGGGCGCGUAGGCGGGCGCGUAAGUCUCGGGUGAAAUCCCCCGGCCCAACCGGGGAAGUGCCUGGGAUACUGCGUGUCUGGAGGGAGGUAGGGGCCGACGGAACUUCCGGUGGAGCGGUGAAAUGCGUAGAGAUCGGAAGGAACGCCGGUGGCGAAAGCGGUCGGCUGGACCUCUUCUGACGCUGAGGCGCGAAAGCCAGGGGAGCGAACGGGAUUAGAUACCCCGGUAGUCCUGGCCCUAAACGAUGGGUACUAGGCCGUGGGCUUGACAUGGGCUCACAGCCGGAGCAAAAGUUCUAAGUACCCCGCCUGGGGAGUAUGGCCGCAAGGCUGAA
rnacentral:rRNA from 1 species